rnacentral:lncRNA from 7 species
AAAAUGAGAUUUCAACCUUGCUGUAGCCUCACUCAACUCGAUGGGAACCUCUGAGAUCAACUGCUACCUCUGACCAGUGAACUAUGGCAUCCAGAGCUCAUACAAACGUUUAGGUGUUCGUAUGGAGGUGAAACAGUUCCAACAGAACUCCAAGAGAAACCCACCCAGUCAAGUACAUGACGGAAGGUGCCCUGGUACCCUGCUGAGUUUCUGGCUCCUGUUCCAUGGCAGAAGGCAAGAGAUUGGAUUGUCUCCCAGUGACAACUGCUAGCACCACAGAGCUAGAACCUGGUAAAAGACGAAGAAAACCGCCAUGCCUUUGGGGAAAUGACUCUGCUACCUUGCCAAGAAACAUGUUUGGCAAGUUUAUAAGCCAAGGUGGAGCUGAAGUUCCCUGAGCCCUUCUGCCCUCCUUGAAAGAUGUCAGGUGGGAACCUCAGCAAACCUAAUAUCUUGAGUAGCAUCUCCAGGGUUGGGCAAACUGGUUCAGGUAGAAGAAAUUGCAGCUCGUACUGAACCUUUGCCCACUUCUUGAUAGGCUCAGCCUGAAUGGUAUCUUCUUCCACCUCACAAACCCAAACCUGGCACAUGCCUGUCCUGAGAACUGAACUUUCAUAGACAAUGUGAAAAGUAUGGCUGAUAUCUUAAAAUCUUUGUCUUGCAUGUCUGCACCUCUACCCUCCCUUGAGGUUAAUUGUUUGAACAUCAGCCAGUAUUUACUCUCUGCAUGCUAAUCUUGGACUGGUGUGGGCUUCAGGCCUCCACUGGAGCAUUACUCCCCACAGGGCCACAAACCAAUGCAUCCCUUUGGCUUUGCUAACAGUGCAUUAGGAAGUAGGGGCUGUGGGGAUGCAUGUGGUUAGCCUAAGCAGCCACUUGUCAUUUCUGGAGAGUCUUUGUGGUUUUUAUGAGGAAAGCAAUUGAAUGGUCUUCCUCUGAGUUGACUUGAAAAAAUUAGAGUGGGGGCCUGAGAGUGGAGAGAGGUGGAGUGGCUGAUUUUUAACCUUAAGGCAAUCUUGGUAAUUCUAGCUCUGUAGACAACUGAUCUUUGCAGAGUAAGGUAUCUCUAACAUUUCCAGUUGUAUUAGCCACAACUCAGUGCUGAAAGGGUGACCACACACUCACCCAGCCCUUGUGCCAGCUGCUCUAGGGAAGAAAAACAAUUAGCCUGACUUUGUAAAAGGAUGUUUGACCUUUUAUGGAAGGAGAUGACCUCCUGAGAUGUGUUCCAUGGCAUGGAGAGCAUAUGUUGACUUACUUGUAUAAAGAGCUGUGCUCAAGAAGAAGUCCCACUGGAGAAGUAGCUGAAGGACAUCUAUGUUAUAUAUGGAAGGAAGAGCUACAAGAGCAAUGAAAGGAGGCUUAGAAGAAACAAAAAGUUUGAGGCAGAAUAAUCCAAGAUAUUUUCUG